GAGUUUGAUCGUGGCUCAGGAUAAACGCUGGCGGCGCACAUAAGACAUGCAAGUCGAACGGACUUAACCAUUAGUUUACUAUUGGAGCGGUUAGUGGCGGACUGGUGAGUAACACGUAAGCAACCUGCCUGUUAGAGGGGAACAACAGUUAGAAAUGACUGCUAAUACCGCAUAUGCCUUAGUUAUCGCAUGAUAAUAGAGGGAAAGGAGCAAUCCGCUAACAGAUGGGCUUGCGUCUGAUUAGAUAGUUGGUGUGGUAACGGCAUACCAAGUCGACGAUCAGUAGCCGGACUGA
rnacentral:rRNA from 1 species